ACCGGUUCAAAAAAUAGUUGUCAAUCUUUUUUCUUCCGAUAACAAUUUCAACCAAGGUAGCUAAUCAUUGCCGCCUUGUAUAGAGUACUUCAAGACUAACAAUUACGCAAAGUAAAAAUGCAAUGCCAUGCACUGCAUUCUCUUUGUGAAAUUAAAUCUUAAAAAUAGCAAAGUUUAUGCUACAUUUAGUGAACAAGCCUUUUUUUUACACUUUCCUUAAAUGAUGG